rnacentral:rRNA from 1 species
AGAGUUUCGAUCCUGGCUCAGGACGAACGCUGGCGGCGUGCCUAACACAUGCAAGUCGAACGGACGAGGGGAGCUUGCUCCCCAAGUUAGUGGCGGACGGGUGAGUAACACGUGAGCAACCUGCCCUUCGAGGGGGACAACAGCUGGAAACGGCUGCUAAUACCGCAUGAUGUAUCUUGGAGGCAUCUCCGGGAUACCAAAGAUUUAUCGCCGAAGGAUGGGCUCGCGUCUGAUUAGAUAGUUGGUGGGGUAACGGCCUACCAAGUCGACGAUCAGUAGCCGGACUGAGAGGUUGAACGGCCACAUUGGGACUGAGAUACGGCCCAGACUCCUACGGGAGGCAGCAGUGGGGAAUAUUGGGCAAUGGGGCAACCCUGACCCAGCAACGCCGCGUGAAGGAAGAAGGCUUUCGGGUUGUAAACUUCUUUGACGAGGGACGAUAAUGACGGUACCUCGAAACAAGCCACGGCUAACUACGUGCC